rnacentral:rRNA from 1 species
GCAACGCGAAAACCUUACCACCUUGACAUGGCAGGAAUCCUAAGAGAUUGGAGUGCUCGAAAGAGAACCUGCACACAGGUGCUGCAUGGCUGUCGUCAGCUCGUGUCGUGAGAUGUUGGGUUAAGUCCCGCAACGAGCGCAACCCUUGCCAUUAGUUGCUACGAAAGGGCACUCUAAUGGGACUGCCGGUGACAAACCGGAGGAAGGUGGGGAUGACGUCAAGUCCUCAUGGCCCUUAUAGGUGGGGCUACACACGUCAUACAAUGGCCGGUACAGAGGGUAGCCAACCCGCGAGGGGGAGCCAAUCCCACAAAGCCGGUCGUAGUCCGGAUCGCAGUCUGCAACUCGACUGCGUGAAGUCGGAAUCGCUAGUAAUCGCGGAUCAGCAUGUCGCGGUGAAUACGUUCCCGGGUCUU